UAAAAUCUGGGCAUAACAUAUGGGGGCUCAUCCGGGAUAUCCUCCCCACAGAGCUCCUGGGACCCGGACACGUUGGGCCUAAUCGCCGGUUGGUCCUGUGACUGCUUUGACAGGUAGACUAAGGUGGAAACGACGUUCCAAUCCCGGGAGAGCCCUUUACCCGCCUAGCCAACCACCAGAUAAAACAUGUGAACAGCCGGAGACUGCCACCGGCCCAAGCCAUGAAGAGAGGCCCUGGAGAACGAGACAGUAUGUGCGGGAGCCAAGGAGCACCAAGGAGGAGCAUGUGUGAGGGAAGAAGCCAUUGUGGAAAUGAAACCUCCAGCCACUGCUACCCUGGGUGACGGCAGUAUCUCCAAAUAAAUCCAACUUGGGAGUUCCA